AUGGCAUCUUAUAAUGGUGAUGAACCCAAAUUCACUGCUGGGAGGGGGAGGUUUUUCUCAUACUCUGAUCAAACCCCUGUAAAGUGUGUAGGUGCAGGAGGUUCCCCCAUGUUUUGCUCCACAAAAAAAUGGGAUGAAAGCCCUUCAUCUGGUGUUAAUCCAAAUGCCCCUGUAGAUGGUCUAGCUGAGCUGGUCACUCAGCUAGCCCAGGAAAUAGGGAGCUCCAUUAGGGAAGAACUACAGAGUGGCAGGUCCAGUACUUAUGAGCCACCAGUAAGUACAGAAAAGAUAAGUGAUCAUCAUUCAGAGUCGGUAGGAUAUGUAGAUCUCAGUAAAAUUAAGUUCAUCAUGCAAUCAGACAUAAAGGAACCUCCUACAUAUAGAGGAGAUGUUACAGACAAAUGCUCCAUUCAUGAAUGGGAGGAGUUGACGAGAAUAUACUUGAGGAGGAAGGGAUGUCCGGUUGAGGAACAAUCAGAUGAGAUAAUUAGUCGAUUAUCUGGCAAAGCAAGAGACAUGGUAAAGAUACAUUUACACAAUGAGACAACAGUUGAUCCUACAGAGAAGCCAGAGAUUGUAUUUGACAUUCUGAAACAGAAUUUCAGCGAAUUGGCCUAUUCAUGCAUGCCCUUGGCUGAUUUUUACAAUACUAAACCUGUACCCGGAGAGGCUGUUAUGGAGUAUUGGGUUCGAUUGAACAAGGCCGUAGAUGUCGCUGACGAGGGCCUUAAGAGACAAGGUAAGAAGAUUGACUCCGAUGUCGUUAGGAUGUUUGUAACAUACUGCCCUGACCCCAAACUGGCAGCAGUAUUCCAAUACAAGUCUGCUGAGAAAUGGACUGCGAGUGAAGUACGGGAGAGAAUCUAUGAACAUGAACGCCGCAGGAAAGCCACCAUGUGUCAAUCUACCGCUGUAUCCUCAAAGCAAGUAACAGUACAUCCCCAGAUAACUCCAUGUGAAGGCGGGGUCAAUGCUGGUGCGUGCAGUGACACUUCUCUCACAUCAAGCGCCAAACAAGAUGGGCAGAGUGCAAGUAUCGAGAGACUCAUUCACCUGCUUGAGAGAGAAGAGCAUAGAGAAGAGCAUACCACCCGUUAUGGUUUCACAGACACAGGCCAAGGCACCAUCUUUCCACACCCAGCCCUCCAGGCGUAG
rnacentral:lncRNA from 1 species